rnacentral:tRNA from 1 species
GGGAAGAUAGCUCAGUGGUAGAGUGCUUGCCUUACAUGCAUGAGGCCCUGGGUUCGAUUCCUCAGCAUCACA